rnacentral:rRNA from 1 species
CAGCAGCAGCCGCGGUAAUACGUAGGGUGCGAGCGUUAAUCGGAAUUACUGGGCGUAAAGCGUGCGCAGGCGGUUCGUUAAGACAGAUGUGAAAUCCCCGGGCUUAACCUGGGAACUGCAUUUGUGACUGGCGAGCUAGAGUAUGGCAGAGGGGGGUAGAAUUCCACGCGUAGCAGUGAAAUGCGUAGAGAUGUGGAGGAAUACCGAUGGCGAAGGCAGCCCCCUGGGCCAAUACUGACGCUCAUGCACGAAAGCGUGGGGAGCAAACAGGAUUAGAUACCCGCGUAGUCCCUGUCUCUUAUAA